rnacentral:rRNA from 1 species
CAAUAGCGUAUAUUUAAGUUGUUGCAGUUAAAAAGCUCGUAGUUGGAUUUCUGGCAGGAUGCUAAUGUCCGCUUCGUUGCGUGUGCAUAUGCGUCCUGCCAUCCUUCUGUUAACUGUUCUGGUAUUCAGUUACUGGUUCAGAGCUCAGAUAUUUUACCUUGAGAAAAUUAGAGUGUUUAAGGCAGGCAUGCGCCUGAAUACAUUAGCAUGGAAUAAUAGAAUAGGACUUUGGUCUCCUUUGUUGGUUUGAGGGACUAGAGUAAUGAUUAAUAGGGACAGUUGGGGGCAUUAGUAUUUAAUUGUCAGAGGUGAAAUUCUCGGAUUUAUUAAAGACUAACUUAUGCGAAAGCAUUUGCCAAGGAUGUUUUCAUUAA